rnacentral:rRNA from 1 species
GCAAGUCGAGGGGUAACAGGAGAGCUUGCUCUCGCUGACGACCGGCGCACGGGUGAGUAACGCGUAUGCAACCUACUUUUUACUGGAGAAUAGCUCCGAGAAAUCGGAAUUAAUACUCCAUAAUGUUUUUUAAAGGCAUCUUUUUAAAAUUAAAGUUCCGGCGGUAAAAAAUGGGCAUGCGUGACAUUAGUUAGUUGGUGAGGUAACGGCUCACCAAGACUACGAUGUCUAGGGGGUCUUAAAGGAUGGUC